GACGAACGCUGGCGGCGUGGAUUAGGCAUGCAAGUCGGACGGUAGAGCUUUAUCGUAAGAUAGAGUUUGAGAGUGGCGAACGGGUGAGUAACACGUAGGAAUCUACCCUUAAGACGGGGACAACCCAGGGAAACUUGGGCUAAUACCGGAUGAGAGUGCGAGAGAUUGCAUUUAAAAGGAUGGCGAAAGUUGUCGCUUAGGGAUGAGCCUGCGGUCUAUUAGUUAGUUGGUGAGGUAAGAGCUCACCAAGGCGAUGAUAGAUAGGCGGCCUUAACGGGUGGUCGCCCACACUGGGAUUGAGAUACGGCCCAGACUCCUACGGGAGGCAGCAGUCGAGAAUAGUCUACAAUGGUCGGAAGACUGAUAGUGCGACGCCGCGUGAACGAUGAAUCCCUUCGGGGUGUAAAGUUCUUUUAUAUGUGAGCAGUGCUUCUUAUAUUAACAGUAUGGGGAGAGAGAUAUUAGCAUAUGAAUAAGCAACGGCUAACUCCGUGCC
rnacentral:rRNA from 1 species